rnacentral:lncRNA from 1 species
UUGUCAAAUCAGAUCGUGAAAAGAAAUGCAUUGGCAUCAUCAAUGAUCCAUUUUAUCACCCAUAUUCAUGCGGUGAAGUGCACCUUUGAGCUUCAAAACAGAUCAUCCCACAGUCAGUCUUGAUGGGUGCAUCAUUCCACACUUAUUCAAAUGUAACUAUGCGAUAACAUCAAUUGCUGCUUGGAUUGUCUUUGAACAACAUUGCCC